rfam:Chishuiella changwenlii strain DSM 27989 genome assembly, contig: Ga0131172_101
UCCUCCUUAGCUCAGUUGGUUAGAGCAUCUGACUGUUAAUCAGAGGGUCCUUGGUUCGAGCCCAAGAGGAGGAG